rnacentral:lncRNA from 1 species
AUGAAUCAAAAUAAGUCUCCCACUCCAAAAACCUCGUUUUUAGAGUUGAAUUUAUCAGACACUCGACCAAGAGGAAAGGAUUAUUCCACACUUGAGAUCAAAAUUGACUCCAAAAUGUCGCGAUUUGAAAGCCUCACCGAAAAGUCAAAUACUAUUCACAUCGAAAGAGAGUAUCUUAGCACAAGUACCGUCUUUGAAGGGUCAACCUUAAUGAUUGAGGAAUCUGUCGUAAGCGAGAAACGAGUCCACCAUCGUGCUUCAGAGGAAGCAACAGUUCACAUCGAGGAUUCUGUUACGAAUGAGAAGCGUUUACACCGUCAUGGCUCAGAAGAACCUACUCUUUAUGAGAGUCCAAUAACGGAUGACAGUAUCUCUCACCACAUUACAGAUACGGGAAUUAGUCUGACUCGUGGAACGGCAUCAUCAGAAAUGAGUGGCUCUCCUCGUGCAGCUAUUCAGCCGACUGCUUUCACAUCUGACACGGCAGUCGACGUCGACAUCGAAGAGGAAGAACUAACGGAUGCCGGUCUUAGUCCAAUCCAUCCAGAUGCUACAGGUCUACGUCUGGCAGAGAUGCCUCAUGAUUUAGAGUCUAAAGCUAGAUUCUGUGAUGUCGCCACCAGCCCAUUAGAACUCAGGACUGACCAAAGAGAUCACACCGAUUUGUUAAAAGUUGAGAAGUCUGAUGCCGAGACAAUUACAGAUGAGAUUGAGAAGCGAGAUAUCGGAUUAAGUCCAAACAGUUUCACAACUUCCGACUCCUUCUGUCCCGAGCACUCCUGGAGAUCCGAGGUACGAAGAUGCGCGAAUCAAAAUGUGCUUGAUUUUGGAGUUUCCAAAUCAGGAAACGAAAUUAAACCAAGCUCCACAUCAAAUUUGAAAUCUAAAACUGAGCCCAAGAUUCAAGAAGAAUCUAGCUCUUUGAAUAAGUCUACUUUGGAUGAGACAGUAAGUAAGAGUGGAAUGAACCCCAUGGAAAAACUUUCGUUGUCAACGAGAGGAGACGCAUCAUUGCAUCAGGAGGAAUUUGAAUACAGCGGUGACGAUGAAAGUCUGCCUUGUGUCCCAGAACAAGCCAUUGAGAAGUUAAAUCCUUCUGAUGUAAGAUCUAAGUUUUUCUGA